AGUAACGCGUAAGUAAUCUACCCUCGCAUUUGGGAUAACCCACCGAAAGGUGUGCUAAUACCGGAUACGUCUAUUUUAAUAUCUUUUUUAUAGAGAAAGGUGGCCUCUGAUUCAAGCUACUGUGCGGGGAGGAGCUUGCGUACCAUUAGCUAGUUGGUAGGGUAAUGGCCUACCAAGGCAACGAUGGUUAGCGGGUCUGAGAGGAUGAUCCGCCACACUGGAACUGAAACACGGACCAG
rnacentral:rRNA from 1 species